ensembl:scaRNA SCARNA3 small Cajal body-specific RNA 3
AAUGGAAGCUGCAGGAACCAACCAUGUGGACAAAUGAAAAAAUGCCUUUUGUCUACAGAUUGCAGCGAUCCUACAUAAAAUAUGGAGGUCUCUGUCUGGCUUAGGACAGCUGGCUAAGUCUGAUCGUUCCCCUCCAUACAGC